rnacentral:misc_RNA from 1 species
UGCAGAUCCAACGUAACACUGCUGCUCUUAUUUUAAAAGAAUUCAUUUUCUAUUGUUUUGAGUUGAUAAGCAUACUUUGAUUUCUCAAUUAUUGGCAUAAGCAUAUCAUUUGAUAAAUGUAGUAGUGGGAAUGAGAUAUACUGCAUAAGUGCAUAUAUGGUGGUUUGUAUAGUUCAUUUUGGCUCAUGAAGCCUCACAGGGUCGAACUGCAUAGGUUUCUUGGAGGGUUAGGAAUGAUUUGAUGCUUUUGUUGACUGCUGAUUGUAGAAUUUGCAAAAUUUGCGCCUUAUAUUUUGCGGGACUUGUAGGUUAUAGGACACCAACAGUUGUACAGAAUAUUAGGUAAUGUGACUAAUGCCUCUUCUGUCAAAUGUCAAUGGGUGAUGCCUAAUGAAAUGAGGAAUCUGGCUUUGGAAUGCAUGAUACCCUGCCUGGGGAUGAUGAUACUCCCUUAGAUGUCAUUAAAAUAAAGUUUGCAUUAGAAUGCCAUCAAUGGUUGGUGGGAAUUCAUGCUAUAAGGCAUCAUCCGAGAGGAUGGUGCCUCUUCAUGCUAGACUUUUUGUUCUGUAAGAAGCUUGUUGAUUUAUCUUUGCACACUUGUAAUUUGGUGUAUGUAGCUCUUGCAAAUAACUAGGUUUAGGUGGAAAUGUGGAGAUGGAGCCUAGUAGUCAGGUAUGCAAG